rnacentral:lncRNA from 13 species
GAGUGGAACAUGGCGCAUGUAGCUUGUUGGUCAUAAGUCAUCAAAGCAGGAAUACCACAGUUUGAGUCAUAAUACCCGUAAACCACGGAAAUGGUUCCAAUCGUUUUUUCACCAUUCAUUUUUCGGUAGGGGUCAAGGGAAGAUAAUUUAACGUUGGCGAUUAUCGUCUGACUACACGAACGAUGAGCUAACGUUUAACUAGCGAGCUAAACUUUAGAUAAAUAUCCAUGCCCUGAUGGACUAACAUUGCCAAGUACAUCACCACGUGGAAAAGUGACUAACUUACACGAACGAUGGGCAGACCGGAAACCCAGUGACAACACUCAGGUCUGUAGCUGCCAUUUUCCGGUGGGAAAGAGAAAUGGCCCUGUAUUUACCAGAAAAGGUAGCUCAUCCACCAUGGCAGAAGAGGAAGAUCCAGAUGGUUGAUUGGGAAACAAGAAACAACAAUGAGUCCAACAGGAGUGCAUCUCUCAGACCAUCUGGGGCAUGGACAUCCUGUACCAGUCUGAUCCGAGCAGGAGUAUCCAUUUGUACAGCACAUCGAGCCUGUGGACGUACAGACAUGAGGUGUGACAUGUGGAACAUCAGGCACACCCCACGACAAGCAGUGCAUGAUCAACACCACUCUCAGCAAGGAGAUCUGCUGGAAGUGAUGUGCUCUCUCACUCUCACUCAUAAUUUUAACAUCACAAAUAUAAAUUCCCACUGAGCCCAUGAUAAAAUGCAAUGUGAAUUGUGUCGUACUUCUGAAUGAAACUGUGAGGAGAUGCACUCAGACCAGCCUUU